UCUCAUUCUGAAAAAGAGUGACUCAACUUUUGUUUUGCACACUGCAAACAUGACCAUCCUUUGUGUUUUGCUUCUGCUACUGAUGGUUAAAAAGGAGACACUGGCACAGACAAUAACACAGCUGGAAGACAAGGCACUUAAAUCUGAGGGAGAAAAAGUCAUCCUGUCCUGUAAAUAUGAUGGAGCUGUAAAUAACCUGCACUGGUAUCGACAGUAUCAGGGAUCCAAACCGGAGUUCCUCGCAUAUAUUUAUCUAAAUGGAGACACAAGUAAACCUCUUCCUGAUCGUCUCAUGCCUAAAAUUUAUAAAAACAACAAUCUUGUGAGCCUGGAGAUCUCUGAUGCCAAAGUAGCAGACUCUGCGCUGUACUACUGUGCACUGACGCCCACAAUGACAGGAAACUCAACUACACUGUACAAAAACCUCCUGAACAAUAAAACUCUAUCCUAA